AUUUUGAACUCCUCUUGCGCAGGCCACGAGGCGAUCCAGCGGGGAAUCCCUGUUUCUGGCUAGACAAGGCGAGACACGGAUCAUCGGUGGAAGUGGAACCAAACGCGCCCGCCCGAGACUGGAUCACCGGGGGAACCAAACGCGUUGUCAAUUUUGAAGCGAUGGUCAGUGUUGCGGCCUUGCGGGGGCGUGCGGCUUCCGUCCGAAGUCUAUUCAUCAACACUGUAGUAGUAGUAGUGGUGGUGGUCAUUUCUGCCGCUCGCCUGACAGAUUUGUGUGCCGGAGCCCGGAGGCGGGGGAAUGUGGCUGGUGGCGCCGGCGGGUCCAUCGCCGAUCAGUCGGGCGGCGGCGGCGGCCAAGGGUACUCCACCACGUCGAGAGAUAGUGGAGGGAAAAAUCUGAAGCCGUUCGAAGGAAAGGAAGGGAAGGCGAUAUUCAGCGCAAGCAAGACUGCCCAACUCAUGGAUGGAUCCGCCUGUCUCCAAAGGGGAGAUCUGCGGUGCGGUGUGUCUCCUGAACCCCACCCCAAACAAAGAGUUGCAUUUCAGUGUUGUUUGCAUAAUUAUACUGCUGGGGUAUCCAUUAGGGCCCUGUUUACUUCCAAAAUUUUUUGUAAAAUAGACACGGUAUCACUUUCGUUUGUAAUUGACAAAUUUUGACUAACUGGGCUCAAAAGAUUCGUCUCGCAAAUUACAUAUAAACUGUGCAAUUAUUUAUUUCUUUUAUCUAUAUUUAAUGCUUCAUACAUGUGCCGUAAAAUUCGAUGUGAUGGGGAAUCUGAAAAAUUUUGCAAAUUUUUUUUGGAACUAAACAAGGCCUACUAGGGGUGACUGCAGGGUGUAUGAGUUGCGUGUUGAGAUUACGGUGCUGGUUAAGGCUGUGAAGAAUACUGUUUCCCAAGAAUCUGUAGUAAUGGUCUUUAAAAAGAAGAAUCUAUAGUAAGCAGUUUUUGACUUUCUGUGAUGUAGAAAGGUUUGCUGUGGUAAACUUUCCAACAUGAUGUGCUUGGUUGGAUGAGGUAAUCUACAAUUUAAUUGAUAACUUCCUUACUAUUACCCUGUACAGGCUUAGUACUGUCAGUGCGUUAACCGUUAAUAUCUGUCAUUAAUUUGUAGUUUGCUUUAGUACUGUCAGUGCGUUAACCGUUAAUAAGAAAUGCUGUUACCCUUUGCAUUCCUCUUGCACAUAAGAUCUGAAGAAUGUGGUUCUCUUACAGUGGUAAAAAAUAAUGCAACAAAUUAUGGGUGUACAUUUUUUGUUCUAAAACUUUAGAUAUUCACACCACCUUGAUUACACUGUACUAUUUGCACUAUUGUUUUACUCGAAGGCAUAUGAUACCUUCCAAUUCUUUUCGACAAAUCAAGAUGGCACCACAGCUACCAAAUUAUGCAAAGUAGCACUGUCAGCAGAUGGAAUUGUAUUUGCUGCUUUUGGCUAGAAGGUUGGCCGUUGGAGGUCACACUGGAGGACUAAUUUCUGAUACUCUCCAAGCGCCCAUAUAGGAAAUAUGUUACGAUAAGCCAUGUAGCACAAGGGACCAUUUUUCAAGAAACUUCCAAUCAUUUCCUACAGAACAAUAAAGAAACUGUUAGUAGCAACAGUAGAUCUUUGAAUGAAGGCGAUUUACAUGUUUCUACUUACUAGAAAUUGGGAAAUUCCUAUAAUGGUAAAAGGGAAAAUAACUUGACAGUUUCAAGCCAUUUUGUUUCAAGCUGGUAGGAGAGCUGCCUAUCAUUAUAUUAAUAAGGAGAAGAGGUUGAAGUUAUCCUGCGAAUACUUUCCAAUAAUUAUGAGGAAAUAACUCAGGUUUUCCACAGUACAAAACUAUUUAGUGGGGGUAUUCUUCUAUAAACGUUCCUGUGAGGGUAGUUUGAAGAUCAAAACCUUUCGUUGUUUAUCAAGCAAAAGGUCACCCACAUCUGUCAAUGGAACAUCUUUAUUGCUUCAUCAUGCUUAAUGUCAUUAUAACAGAGAAUGUCAAUAUUAAAAAGGGAACUGUAUAUAAUACAGAGCACACUUAGCAGUUACCUCCUGUGGGAAGUCACCAUUGCCGAGCUGCAUACUCAUGAUAAGUCUUGCAGCUUUGUGCAGUGGAGUAGGAUCUCUUUCCACCUGAACUUAGAAGAAAAGUUGGAAAUUACUCCAUACUUCAAAAGUGAAAUAGAUCUAAACCUUUAAGCAGGUUGGUUGAUUUAUGCUGAUGUUAAAUAUGCUCUGCUCCAUUUGCCUGUUAAAUAUUUUGUAGUGUUAAAUAAAAUAAUCACCUGUCCAGCUUUCAUGAGCGCCAACAUUGCCCAUGCAGUGUUCACUAUGUGUGACUUCUGCCUAUCCAGAUUUGUGUAUGCCUGUUUAUAAUUUGAAUAUCUGCUUAGUCUCAUGGAUUGAAAAUGCAGCAAGUCAAGACUAAUUCUGAGACAAAAAUCUUCAGCAUAAAUAGAGGUGCACUGUAAACUUUGUGAAAGCGAAAGAUGCAUAAUGUUUCCAACCAGCAAAUGUUCAGCUUGCAUUUAGGUAGAUAUGGAAUUCUUGGAACGACAUAUUACGACUCAUGCUCUUGUUGCCAUGCAAUUGCAUUUUUUUAACAUAAAGUCCAUCUACUUUAUUGCUUGUUUCAUUUUCUCUAAAUAAGGCUGAACCAGGUUACUUGUUUCCUACUUUCCUCUCAACGCUUCAUGUUCCUAUUGAAUUACUAUCUGGUUAUGAAUUCAUACAGAUUGCUGUACUAUAAUUUGCUGGAAGUUGAACAGAAACAGGAUCAAAGCAUGUUUCCAUUGUCUGGAUGUGUUGCUUACUCUAAAACAUUGUUUAGCUUGGUUCUUGAUGAAAGAUGCAGUCCAUCUACAUUGCAAAAGCAUACCAGAAAUGGUUACCUUGGUUCUUGAUGAAAGAUAACUCUCACCCCAUCCACCAUUGUUUAGCUGCUUUGUUAAGAGAAACUUACAGGCCUUCCGGAUACAAGUGCUGUUACCAUAACUCUGUCCAACAGCUGAUAGACCCUCAAUAGCAAACCAUGUGCCAUAUGUGAAACAAAUACCCCAAGAUCCAAACCUGUAGAACAAUUUAUCGAUCAUUGAUUAUCUAUUUUCUCAAUGUUCCAUGAAUUUCGGCUAUGUUUUAAUAUGUGCUGCUCUGCAUGCCACUGGUUCUAUUUAACUAGGAACUUAUCUAGUUUUAUUUGCUGUAUUAAAGGUUGCACCUUUUGGUAUUCUGGUUAGCAACCUAUGCUAUAUGUCUUUUGGUGCAGUAGGAAAGUAUUUUGACUGUCUUUAUUGGUUCUCUUCUGAAUAUAAGUCUGCAUAUCACGGUAAGUUGAUAACAUAGUUAUUAUCUCAUUGAAGAUAUUGACUGUACUCUUUGGGACUAUGUACUUCAGUUCUGCUGAGCUAUACUGGGAAUUAUUCUGUAGACUUAGGUUUAAUAGUGUCAAAACUUCAAGCAACCCAAUAAGGACUAAAUGUGCCAAAUUGAAACCUUUCUAUGGUCAUGUAUAAAAGUACUGACCAUGAGCCAUCAUCAUUCUGUAACUUCUCAAUGAAUUCAGUAGCUCCCCUAAUGCAUUGAUCUAUCUCAUCUUUUCGAUGCCAAGGGUACUUCUCCUGAAACAAUGCUAAUGCUUGCAUGACUGAUGAGGUACACUCGACGUACCUGCAGUAUGUAUGCAUGUUAUUUGUUUUGCCAUAAGAGAGGUAUUGCUGAGAAUGUUGUAAAAUUCUUACUGAUGCUCCACCAUGAUGUCUGCAUAUAUUUCUGUCAUGUUGAAAAUCUGCCAUGAAAAAAGAUCCAAAGCCCCAGUUUUCAGUGCUCUAUAUGUCCACAUGUAGAUAUUAUGCUCUACAAGUCUACAAUAAUUGUUCCCUAAAGACAAUACUUACUUUUCUUUUCGAUAUAGCUAUGACAAGUAAUUUGGCUCAAUAAUGAUCGCUUUUACAUACCAGAAUUUUCUUGGGAUUUCAUCACUAUAUUUGUUCAGACUAGAAGUGCUGGUCAUUUGACUCCAAAUUACCAGUGUAUACGUGCCUACUUUCUUUCUUACCCGGUUUUAGAUGCAUUUUGGCUCCUAUUUAUAUAACUUAACUUGAAUCUGCAAGUUAUUUUUUUUUUGAAGCUGAAAAAUAAAUUUACAUGCUUGCCCUCAGUAUGAUAUCCUAUUGUUCCUAAGCACGUUUUGCCAUAAGUGAAGAAACAACAAAGUAGCUAUAAUUCACCUACUAUAUGCCCAAAGUAAGAAACUCUGAGCAGACAUAAUUGCUUCUAAAUAUCUUUUGAUCAUUGUUGCAUGAAAUGCUGGUUUACGUUAUGAAAUUACCUAAAGCAUAAAGACCUGAACCUAUUAUCCAAAAACAUGUAUAUAUAUUCUCAAAAAAAACAUGUAUAUAUGUUAUUUAAUGCAAUCUUAAUGCAUGAAUUUAGCUAAACAGUAAAGCAGGAACUGGAAACAUACCUCCAUCCAUGGAUAUGUGCGAGCUAGCUCCCAAGUUCCAUAGCCACCGUUUGGGUUCUGCAUCCAAUUCAGGGAAAUUGGCCAACGUGUGAGAAAAGGUUCACCAAAACUGUAAAGGCAGUCAGAUAGACACUCCUGUAGCCAUGUUGAAGAAAAAUCUACCUGGUUGAAUAGGAACCCAUGAUGGAAGAAGAAACAAUUCUGGGGGGAUGGGAUUUACACCUGACCAUUCAAAAACUCCAAGCACCUGCAUUAUCAGGUGCAAUCAUCGCCCAAUGUCACAAUGUGGGAUGGCAACCAUCACAAGAAGCAGCAGCCACAGUUGAAGAGAGCCGGGUGACGUGCAUUGCCAAUCAGGCUGCUGAGUCCCUAUUUAUCGCUGGGAGAUCACGUGGAACCCAUGACCCCAAGGUCAAGUUGCCACGGAAUGUGUCGACUCUCUUCUCCUGCACAACACAACCGUGGAGCCGUCCAGAAGGGAGCUUGCUUGGCAGCUGAGAACCCGGGGAAAUGGCUUAUGUGUGCGCGCGCCGGCGCGCCUGGCCCUGGUCAUGCGAAGCCACAGCUUCAGUUCCUGGAGAGGUCUCCAUGCAUGUGUUGUCGUGCUUCGUUCAUCACAGGAACUGCAUGCACUUUCAACUUUGGUUUCAAACUGGUGAGCUGUAUACGUGUUAAACAAUGUUUUCACUUUUCAGAGACGGUGACCUGUUCUUAGAACACUGGCGGUUACGCAAAUUUCUGAUUAAACUGAAUCCAAAACUUGCUGCCCUUGUAUAGUCA